ACGAACGCUGGCGGCGUGCCUAAUACAUGCAAGUCGAGCGGAAUGAUGAAGAAGCUUGCUUCUUCUGAUUUUAGCGGCGGACGGGUGAGUAACACGUGGGCAACUACCUUGUAGAUUGGGAUAACUCCGGGAAACCGGGGCUAAUACCGAAUAAUCCAUUUUGCUUCAUGGCGAGAUGUUGAAAGACGGUUUCGGCUGUCACUACAAGAUGGGCCCGCGGCGCAUUAGCUAGUUGGUAGGGUAAUGGCCUACCAAGGCGACGAUGCGUAGCCGACCUGAGAGGGUGAUCGGCCACACUGGGACUGAGACACGGCCCAGACUCCUACGGGAGGCAGCAGUAGGGAAUCUUCCACAAUGGACGAAAGUCUGAUGGAGCAACGCCGCGUGAGUGAAGAAGGGUUUUCGGAUCGUAAAACUCUGUUGUAAGGGAAGAACACGUACGAGAGUAACUGCUCGUACCUUGACGGUACCUUAUUAGAAAGCCACGGCUAACUACGUG
rnacentral:rRNA from 1 species